CUUUCCGGUUUAGUUACGUUUACUAGUUAUUCUUGUUAUUAAUUUUUACUAUUUGAAAAGUUAUUUUAUAUGUGCAGCUCAACAAUGAAGUAGAGGAUAUGCGGUAUCAACUCGACAUCAAGAAUUUAUAAGACUUUUUUGGACAGGUGGACAGCCGGCGCGUGGUAGGAAAGCUCUCUAGCCGUGGAGUGUGAUUUGUAUCAGCGUCUCCACGGUGGAGAACCAGUACCAACCCAUUCUUGACACGACCUGGACUCAAGACAGCGGACAACAUGUGAGCGCACAGCAGUGUGAAGAGCCACAACCUU